UCCAUCUUGUUGAUCGCAGAGUAAUUACACCUAUCAACCUUGCUGGAGCAAAUGUUGGGAAUGUGCAUCUACCGGACAGAGGAAAUCAGAACAAUCAGCAAAUAGGGCAAAAUGAACAAGAAGAAGUUGGUGCAGUAGGUGGCAACCAAGCAAUAGAACCACAACAGAAUGAACCAUUACAACAACAUGAAGGUGAUGACGAUUCCGAUGAUCUUGGCUGAAAACUACCUCAAAAGAUUAAACAUUUCCCAGACUGAACACAUUCUAAAGACAUUGCUAAGAUACGAAUGUUUCAUCAACAUGUCGCAUACUGUUACUGUCGUAUAUUCAACAUUAAAUUUCUCCAAUAAUCUCAGACUGAAUGCCGAAUGAGCCUGCGGUUCAUACCUUAAUGCUGCAACGCGUUAUGCACAUGUGGUAAAGGGAUUGAAUAUUAACUCUUAAAGACUGUUCCCUGGAUAGUCAAUUGUUCAGUAAUUGUAGAAUUUAGGCAGAAAUGUUCUAUUUUUUUUGCGUGAAAUCCUGACUUUGCAUAGACUUGGAUUGUGGAAACAUAGUUAGGGCCGGUUUUAGGCUGAUUUCAUCAAAUUGGGCCCGCUCUACUGGGGGUCUUUUUUCUGUAUUAUUAGAUGUGCUACAAAAAAUUAAAGUUUAUCCGAUUUGAACAAAAACUAUACUAGUAGAUAAAUCUGAGUGAAAUUUUAGUACCGCCCGUAAGGCCAUUUUUCCUCCCAUAAGGUUAGCAUUACGCUGACUCGAAAACUGAGACUGCGAUAAUGUCAGACAGCCAAAUAACAAGUUGUGUCUCCACUAUUUUUCAAGGUAAUCGAAGGAAAUUUUGAACAAAAAGAUGAUGUGAAAAGAAAAACCUAGUAAAUAAAGUCAACAAGUUCUGAAUAAAUUAGCUUUUCGAAUGAAUUAUGUACGAUAAAAUCUACGAGUAGUUCACAUGAACGCUGAUUGGAAACGGCCUUCCCUGCUAUACAGGUCCAGAUAUACGUGACAUACCCGAUUUAGCGCUCUUAAUAUCCCGCCGUAUUCAUUGAACAAUUUAUUUACCAUUUAAUUAAUAUCCUCGAUAUAAAUGUUUACCGCAUUUGCGGAAAAAACAAUAAAGGCAUCCACAUUACCUUAAAUUUAUUUUAUACCAAACAUCUAUAAAUAACUACUACUACAUCUACUAUAAAGAGUAGGGGCCCUGUCAUCAGAUUUCUAAUUGGGCCCCACAGAUCCUAUCACCGGCCCUGAACAUAGUAACGGACUCUUGGUCACCACUCUUCAGCAAAGAUUUCAGUCAUCCCUCUCAAGAUUUGACCUCUUGAACAUACAGGGGAAACCCUGGUAGCAUGAUAUGUAUCUGGGUAGCCAAUAACCAUGGCAGGAUGAGUGUUUAGGGUAGCCAUUACAAUCUGUUAAAAAAAAACGUCAUAUUUAAUAAAUCAGAGCAUUUUGUGAAAUUCUACACCAAAUCCUGAUUUGUAUGUUUCCUUGUAUUUCUAGAAAUUUUUGAUUAUUUUUCCUUAUUCUUUUUGAAAAUUUCGUGCUGCAUUAAUGCUUUAUUCUUUAAUGUACUAUUUUAGUUAACUGCAACAAACUCACUUUGAGCUUUUCCAGAACUUCAGUCCAAUAUAUUUAAUAUGUGUAUUGUUUUUAUGUUGGCCAGAUUUAGAAGUUAAUAUGUAGUUGAAAUUUUUAUAGUAUGUCGACUUUCAAUAUUUGUGUCAUGUUUUUCUCAUGAUUGACAACUGCUGUUCUCAAUCUCGCUUCAUUUGAAUCGCCCUAAUUAUUUUUACUGUAUAUAAGUUUUCUUUGCAACUUUGUA